GCUGGGCGCAGUGGUGCACACCUGUAAUCCCAGUGGCUGGGGAGGCUGAGACGGGAGGAUAACAAGUUCAAAGCCAGCCUCCACAAAAGUGAGACGAUAAGAGACUCAGUGAGACCCUGUCUCUA
rnacentral:sRNA from 1 species